ensembl:Y_RNA Y_RNA Y RNA
GGCUGGUCCGAUGGUAGUGGGUUACCACUUAUUAACAUUAGGGUCACUAAAGUUGGUAUACAACUCCCCACUGCCAAAUUUGACUGGCUUUUA